GAUGAACGCUGACAGAAUGCUUAACACAUGCAAGUCUUUGGCGAAGCUGUGCUUGCACAGCCUAGCCAAGGCGGACGGGUGAGUAACGCGUAAGGAACUUGCCCUGCAGUCAGGGAUAACAGACGGAAACGACUGAUAAGACCUGGUAAAGUCAGGCGGACUCAUGUCCAGCCUGAUGAAAAGAGAUGCUGCAGGAGAGCCUUGCGUCCUAUUAGCUUGUUGGUGGGGUAACGGCCCACCAAGGCGAUGAUAGGUAGCCGGCCUGAGAGGGUGGACGGCCACAAGGGGACUGAGAUACGGCCCUUACUCCUACGGGAGGCAGCAGUGGGGAAUAUUGGACAAUGGGGGCAACCAUGAUCCAGCAAUUCUGUGUGCACGAUGAAGGUUUUCGGAUUGUAAAGUGCUUUCAGCAGGGAAGAAAAAAAUGACGGUACCUGCAGAAGAAGCGACGGCUAAAUACGUG
rnacentral:rRNA from 1 species